AACGACUCUCGGCAACGGAUAUCUCGGCUCUCGCAUCGAUGAAGAACGUAGCGAAAUGCGAUACUUGGUGUGAAUUGCAGAAUCCCGUGAACCAUCGAGUCUUUGAACGCAAGUUGCGCCCGAAGCCUUCUGGCCAAGGGCACGUCUGCCUGGGUGUCACUC
rnacentral:rRNA from 1 species